CUAGGCUGACCACCGUCUGGGCCCCGGGAGCCCCCUCUAGGCUGAGUUCCCAGGGAACCGGUGAAUGGGCGCGCGCAGCCAUUUAUGAGCACGUGCUGUGUGCCAGGCUCUUGCUGAACAUAAUGAUUUCACUUCAUUUUCACCGCUGCUCACGCGGUAGGAAUUCUGCCCCCCAAUUCAAAGACAUUUGUGGCAGAUUGGGCCCCAGCUACUCCAGCCUCUCCACAAAAGUUCCAAGAUUUGGGGUACCACCAUCAAGGCCACGCUGAGACCGGACCACAUACGUCACCCGAAGCACUGCCCCACCUAGGCGGGUGCGGUCUCAUAAGCCCCACUGGCCUCGGGGUCCGUGGUGACCACCAGAUUUAAAGAAACUAGGUCAUGGGCCGGGGGUCUGGGAUCCACCUGCCUCACCUCAGCUUUCCCGUGCCGACCCCUCUGGGCCCCUGUUGCCCUGCAUUUUUCCUCGCUUUCCCAUUCUGGGCUCUCCGAGUAGGAUGAGGGGGUGACAAGCUGAAUGGAGAUCCUGGGGUGCACCUUUGACCGCUUGGAGCCCCCAGGCCCUGGGAGACAUCCUAGGGAAGUGGCGCCCCAGCCGAACCACCUGGGACUCAAGGCAAGUUUCCUGUGCACGUGGAUUAGCCAGAAAGACCAGGUUGGGCAGAGACCCAGCAUUCCGGGCUGAGCAACAGCUGGCGCAAAGGUCUGGGCGUGACCAGGGCAGGCCUCGGAGGUCACCUGGGGCCGCCGGGCCUCGAGGGCUGAGGCAAGGAGCCGGGCUUUGUCCUGAGGAUCUGGAAGUGGAGGCGGAAGGGUUUGGAAGUGCGUUGGUUAGUGAAGUAUUUCAGGCACAAAAGUAAUCGUGAUGAACGCCUGGGGCCAGGGGCCAGUUUAAGAAGUAACAGACGGAUAAAUCUGAAGGCCCCUGUGACUGCCCUGCCCCAGCCCAGCCCUGGGUCUUGCCCACAGUGGCAGCUGACGUUGCGACACUGGCUGGCUGUCACGGCACCUGCAGCUUGCUCUCUCCCCCAAGGGCUCAGCUUCAGAUGCCAAUAUGGACCAAAGACGAGAUAAAACCAAGUGAGGCCAAGUGAUAUCCUGGGAACCAAAGAGCCCAACAUGCACAGUGCAGGAGCCACACUCAGAACGUGUAAACAUCUCCUGCAAGCCGAGUUAAACCUUGGAAGAGAAUACAAGUCAGGGACACCUGGGUGGCUCAGGGGUUGAGUGUCUGCCAUGGCCCAGGGCGUGAUCCUAGAGACCUAGGAUCGAGUCCCGCAUCGGGCUCCCUGCAUGGAGCCUGCUUCUCCCUCUGCCUGUG